UGCAGUCGAGCGGAAGAUGGNAGCUUGCUCCCUGAUGUUAGCGGCGGACGGGUGAGUAACACGUGGGUAACCUGCCUGUAAGACUGGGAUAACUCCGGGAAACCGGGGCUAAUACCGGAUGGUUGUUUGAACCGCAUGGUUCAGACAUAAAAGGUGGCUUCGGCUACCACUUACAGAUGGACCCGCGGCGCAUUAGCUAGUUGGUGAGGUAACGGCUCACCAAGGCGACGAUGCGUAGCCGACCUGAGAGGGUGAUCGGCCACACUGGGACUGAGACACGGCCCAGACUCCUACGGGAGGCAGCAGUAGGGAAUCUUCCGCAAUGGACGAAAGUCUGACGGAGCAACGCCGCGUGAGUGAUGAAGGUUUUCGGAUCGUAAAGCUCUGUUGUUAGGGAAGAACAAGUGCCGUUCAAAUAGGGCGGCACCUUGACGGUACCUAACCAGAAAGCCACGGCUAACUACGUGCCAGCAGCCGCGGUAAUACGUAGGUGGCAAGCGUUGUCCGGAAUUAUUGGGCGUAAAGGGCUCGCAGGCGGUUUCUUAAGUCUGAUGUGAAAGCCCCCGGCUCAACCGGGGAGGGUCAUUGGAAACUGGGGAACUUGAGUGCAGAAGAGGAGAGUGGAAUUCCACGUGUAGCGGUGAAAUGCGUAGAGAUGUGGAGGAACACCAGUGGCGAAGGCGACUCUCUGGUCUGUAACUGACGCUGAGGAGCGAAAGCGUGGGGAGCGAACAGGAUUAGAUACCCUGGUAGUCCACGCCGUAAACGAUGAGUGCUAAGUGUUAGGGGGUUUCCGCCCCUUAGUGCUGCAGCUAACGCAUUAAGGACUCCGCCUGGGGAGUACGGUC
rnacentral:rRNA from 1 species